rnacentral:rRNA from 1 species
GACGAACGCUGGCGGCGUGCCUAAUACAUGCAAGUAGAACGCACAGUUUAUACCGUAGCUUGCUACACCAUAGACUGUGAGUUGCGAACGGGUGAGUAACGCGUAGGUAACCUGCCUGGUAGCGGGGGAUAACUAUUGGAAACGAUAGCUAAUACCGCAUAAUAUUAAUUAUUGCAUGAUAAUUAAUUGAAAGGUGCAAUUGCACCACUACCAGAUGGACCUGCGUUGUAUUAGCUAGUAGGUGAGGUAACGGCUCACCUAGGCGACGAUACAUAGCCGACCUGAGAGGGUGAUCGGCCACACUGGGACUGAGACACGGCCCAGACUCCUACGGGAGGCAGCAGUAGGGAAUCAUCGGCAAUGGACGAAAGUCUGACCGAGCAACGCCGCGUGAGUGAAGAAGGUUUUCGGAUCGUAAAGCUCUGUUGUAAGAGAAGAACGGGUGUGAGAGUGGAAAGUUCACACUGUGACGGUAUCUUACCAGAAAGGGACGGCUAACUACGUG